CGCGGAGCCGUUCUGCAGCGGGAACAGCACGAAGAGUGAGCUGUCGUUGGCGUCCAGCACCAGCACGCGCACCAGCGCCUCGCUGCUCAGCGCCGUGGAGCCGCGGUCUGAAGCGCCCACGCGGAACUCGAACUCCUGCAGGGCCUCGUAGUCCAGCGACCUGAGGGCGAACAGGUGGCCGUUGUCUGUGUUGAUGGAGACCAGGGAGGCGAGGGGCAGAAUCGCGGUCUUGAAUGCUGAAAAGAGCUGCAACGGUCUCAGGAGAAUUUUCGCGGAUGGGGCUUGUGAAUGAAGCCAUGGUCAGUUCCGGAGCGUUAUCGUUGAUAUCUACCACCUGUAUUAUGACAGUGCAUUUUCCAGAAAGACCUGCCCCAUCAGAGGCUUUAAUAUCCACCUGAUAUGACACAAUUUUUUCAAAAUCUAGUUUUCUGAUUAUUUUAAUUUCUCCCCUUCGUUCAUUAAGUGCAAAUGUCUUAGAAAUCUCUUCAUCACCA
rnacentral:lncRNA from 1 species